ACCCUCCGGAUUCAUUACCCUCAGAUCCGAACAUUGAUGUGAGGGGCAUACGAAAGGGGGAAAAGUAAAACUGAAGCAGACUUGGGAUUAUUUAAAUGACGUGACAAAGGUUCGGUUCAUACACAA
rnacentral:snoRNA from 1 species